rnacentral:lncRNA from 1 species
AUGCAAGUAUCUUUAUUUCUCAAACUUUAAAGUAAAACACACGAAAAGAUAAUCCAUGUGCUGUCCCCAGAUGUAUAGAAAGGUAUGCAAGAUUGUACCUUCUGCCAAGUGUGUUGAAAUGAUCUAGACACCUAUAUAUCGAUACUCACUUGUUUUCACAUUACUACUAGUAAAUCACACAGACAAUUCGCUUUGCUUUGGUAGAAUUCCAAUUCCCAGUCAAUUAGAUUUCUUCCAAAACUAAAACAAAGCAGCAAAAGGUGACAAACAAGUAUAAGGAGGUUUGUCCUACUUAGUUUUUUAGCUUUCGCUUUUACUUUCUCUUUUACUCUUAUUUUCCGUGCACAUCCCAACUCUUAGCUACAUUAAUCAAUGAGGUUAAGCCGAUGACUUUGGGAUUUGGCAGGAUCAGAAAGUAAGUUGGCAUGCAACACCAUUUGAAGAGAGACUGGAAAAGGCAUUAUCACAAGAAACUUCCAUUUCACAAAGGUAUUCAAUCCUUCUCUCUUGGUAUAAGUUCUUUUGUUGGUUUGGGAAUUGGGAUACCGGACCUUUGUUCCAUUUGGUUGAGAUGCUGCUCGAUCUCAGUUGUAUGCCAGAUGUUCAAAGUGUAUGGAUUGCUGCAGAAAGUCAACCUAAGACUAACAGAAGGCAAAAAGAAAACAAAGAAAAGGUUUAUCAACAUGUUGACUUAGCUGGUUAUAUGGCCAAAUGAGUUGCCUUAGUUAUCUUAUUACUGAACUUGACUAUUCUUCAUACAUAUGCCAAUAGGAAAAGAAGACUAUUAACUUGAUAUAUAUCCUCAAAUAGACAUUUCCAGACAGAAACUAAAACAUUUAGCAGAUUUUCCCUAAAUAUGUAUGUAACAAGGCCUCUUUCUUACUACCAAAAGAAUCCAGAUGCUCUUUCAUUACCGCCUGAAGGUCCAAUUUAGGUUACUUAGUGAUUCAAGAUGAGGAAUCUGAAACUUAUUGCUGUUUUGGACUUUGUAAAAAUUAUGAUGUCAGGGACCUGCCUUUCCCUCAGAACAAGAAGUUGACAUGUGCAGGUGGUCUUCUUCUCCCCUUGACUGUCUUGUGUAUUCUUUUAGCUGUAGAAGAGUCUUGACUGAAUUGUACCUAUCACUGAUGUCGACUGUCUUGUGUAUUCUUUUAGCUGUAGGUGUUAUUUCCUUCGUUUGCACUUGGAAGUAACCCCUACUGCUUGAAUCUGCUGCUUAUUUCUUGAAAUACACAACUUAAGGUCAGCUCUUAUUAAGUCCUUAAUAUUAUAAAUUUAUAACACAUCAGGAUUAUACACAUCAGGACUUAUUUUCUCUUAUUUCUCUGUACAAGUGCAAUAAGCACAGAAUUAUACACAUCAGGACAUAAACAAUUAUUAUUAGAAUUUUCCAGAUCACUCUCCAUGAAUUCCAAAAUCUCAAGCGCAGAAUUGAAAUUACCAGCUCGAGUAAACGAGUCGAGCAACAACUUAAAUAUUGCUGAAUUAAGCGACACUCCGUCAUGCCUCAUGGAGUUGAGGAUAACGAAAAUAUCUUCCCGGUGAUUGGCUGAAUUAAGAUGAUAUUGUUACAUGAGUGAUAGGUACAAUUCCACAAGAAGUUGAUUCUGUAGCAUUUGAAGCAGAAACAUCUAUUAGAAGAGUCUUGACUGAAUUGUACCUAUCACUGAUGUGACAAUAUUCUGUAGCAUUUGAAGCAGAAACAUCUAUUCUGUAACAGGACAUGAUCGACCAAUUAAUGCUACAGGUAAACAAGCUGCUAAUGCAACAGGUUACAAAGCUAAUGUUGUGAAUGGUGAUGGCAUGAACAAGUAGGGGUUGAGGCUUUAGAGUGUACAGAUGCUACAGCUACUAAGGCACAUGAACAAGCAGGGCAGUCCAAAAAAAUUGCAGAACCUACUGGUGAUAUAGGUGUGAACAAACAAGUUGGGCAGAUGCUUAGAUCUACAGGAAAAUCUGGACAGAUUUCAACAGAUGCAACUAAGGGUUGGCAAUAGUUAAUCUAUUAGUCAUCUGCAUUCAUCAAAGAAGUGGCUAUGAGUCAUCUGUGCAGUUUACCUUUAAUUGGAAAAUGCAACUAAGGAUCUAUGCAGUUAAUCUAUUACAGAUGCAACUAAGGAUCUAUGCAGUUUACCUUUAAUUGGAAAAUAAGAAGGAGCAUUAUCCAUGAGUCAGUUAAAGGAUUGGCUAUGAGUCAGUUUACCUUUAAUUGGAAAAUGCAACUAAGGCUAUGAGUCAGUUAAUCUAUUACAGAUGCCCAAGUAAGUCUAAUAUAGACUUACUAACUAGUUUUUAAGUCCAAGUUUUUAUUUUUAUACCUAAAUCACAAAUAUGUUCAUCCAUAACAUUUCCUUACCAAUUAAUAUAUCUCUUUAAAACUACAUUUAUUUUUUAAUGACACCCUCUUCAAGUUAACAACCAUGGGCACUUAGAAGCGCAUCUUAACACCUCUUACUUGUACUAAGCGUUGUCUAAGAAGGCAGAGCAUCAAACUAGACCAUACCUAGUUUCAGGCUUAUAGCCAAUAACUACAGUUGCCACAGACUGAGUUCUCUUUUUCCUUUCUUUUAUGCUAGAUAAUUACCUUUGUACUUGAAUAUGUUUACAAAAUAUCAGUGCACGCCCAGAUUCUUAGCACAGAAGACAUCAGUGGGUUUUGCAUUCUAGAGCACAGUGAAUGCAUUUACUCAUUUUUGCUGUUAUUAGUCUCUUUUAAAGAUAUUGAGCUGUGUAAACAACAACAACAACAACAACAACUACCCAGUUAUCCCAGCAGAUGGGGUAUGGGGAGGGUAAUAUGUAGACGAGCCUUACCCCUGCCCGUAAGGGCAGAGAGGCUGUUUCCAAACGACCCUCGGCGUGUAGGAUAAAAAGAG